AACAAUCUUUUGAUUUUCAUGUAGUCAACAUCAACUUAACAUGUACUAUAUCUUCUAGGUGACCUGGGAGUUGGAUGUGCUGCUGUCCUGUUCCUUGUCAGUGACUUGGUCUAUCUCCCCCCCCCGAUAGACCAUGUCACUGACAACUUCAGCAUUAAUCUAGCUCUGAAGUAUUUUGGAGGUGGGGCACAACCAACGCCACCAACCCCAAGUGCCAGUGCUACAGCUGAUGUUCCAGCAGGUGAGGAGCACUUACCAGCACCUGAAUGCACUGAUCCUGCUGUUCCUUCCAUGUCUAAUUGAACCUCAGUGGAUGUGGCAGGUAAGUUAAUAUCACAACCAUUUGUAUUUGCUGUAGAAUAUCACAUUUCUAAUUCAUGUAAUUUUCAUUUGCAUGUCAGAAUUCUUUGUACUUAUUUGUGAGAGAUGGAAACUAGAGUCUGCGACUUGGACUCUAGUUGCACUUAAGUUGCAAAGAUAAAGACUUGUGACUUGACUUGGACUCGUGAACAGCUGACUUGAGACUUGACUGACUCAUGAUUUGUGAGACUCGAAAAAACGUAAGUCAAUCAUAUGACAUUCCCUGUUUACUACACCACAUGGCAGCAUCAUACACACAAAUACAAAUAUUUUAAAAAAAUGCAAAGUUACGGAUGACACACAGC
rnacentral:lncRNA from 1 species